rnacentral:rRNA from 1 species
AGAACGAACGCUGGCGGCAUGCCUAACACAUGCAAGUCGAACGAGACCUUCGGGUCUAGUGGCGCACGGGUGCGUAACGCGUGGGAAUCUGCCCUUGGGUUCGGAAUAACAGCGAGAAAUUGCCGCUAAUACCGGAUGAUGACGUAGGUCCAAAGAUUUAUCGCCCAAGGAUGAGCCCGCGUAGGAUUAGCUUGUUGGUGAGGUAAGAGCUCACCAAGGCGACGAUCCUUAGCUGGUCCGAGAGGAUGAUCAGCCACACUGGGACUGAGACACGGCCCAGACUCCUACGGGAGGCAGCAGUGGGGAAUAUUGGACAACGGGCGAAAGCCUGAUCCAGCAAUGCCGCGUGAGUGAUGAAGCCUUAGGGUUGUAAAGCUCUUUACCGGGAUGAUAAUGACAGUACCGGAGAAUAAGCUCCGGCUAACGUCCGUAGCCAGCAGCCG